rnacentral:rRNA from 1 species
AUGUCGCCCCAAAUAGCUUCCUUGCGCCAAAUCAAGCCUUCCAAAUUUUCCCCAAAUCACCACCUCUCCCGAACCCUAGAACUAUCGCCGGCGCACAUCAAGGAGAUGGGUCAGCAGUCCAAACGGACGCGCGCGCCGGCACCUCGUGAAGCCCCUCCACCAGCGCCUCUGCUCACCCCGCCGCCAGCGCAUCUGCUGGUCCCGCCACCGGCGCAUCUGCUGGUCCCGCCGCCGGCGCAUCUGCUGGUCUCGCCGGCGCCUAAGUCCGCCCCGCCACCGGGGAUCACGUCGGCCUUCCCUUCAAAGCAGAGAACAAGCACUUGGAUCCCCCCAAGACCACAAGAGUCUCUGGCGGCUAGUCUGCAGCAACCAAGGGAAUCGGGUCCUACGGCUCAAGGUCCUUGCUGGGCACCGCCUGCCUGCAUCGGUGACUCUACAUCACCUUGGUACAUGGCUGGCAAUAUGGACUACUCUGAUCCACAAGUAUGGGGAGUGGAUUCUCACCCACCUGGUGGAGUGAGCUGUGAUGUGGUGAUUGCGGCAGCUGUUAUUUAUAGCUAUACAGGAUUAAUAGAAGUGAUUUUCUCCAGCAUUACUACUCAGUGUUACUUCUUGAUGUCACAUGCUUGGUUGAAGGUUAUUGAUGCAAAUGAGUGGUUGCUCCUUUCCAGCGAAGUACCCUCCAUGCUUUGUGACUUUUGUCAUCGUCCAGAUCAAAACUAUGAUUGUUGCUUGUGGUCGUGA